rnacentral:rRNA from 1 species
AGGAUGAACGCUGGCGGUGUGCCUAAUACAUGCAAGUCGAACGGGAUCUUCGGAUCUAGUGGCGGACGGGUGAGUAACACGUUGGUACCUACCCCUAAGUGAGGAAUAACUGCCCGAAAGGGUGGCUAAUACCGCAUAAUCCCGCAAGGGUAAAGCAGUAAUGCGCUUAGGGAGGGGCCUGCGUCUGAUUAGCUAGUUGGUAGGGUAAUGGCCUACCAAGGCGACGAUCAGUAGCUGGAUCGAGAGGUUGACCAGCCACACUGGGACUGAGAUACGGCCCAGACUCCUACGGGAGGCAGCAGUAAGGAAUCUUCCACAAUGGACGAAAGUCUGAUGGAGCAACACCGCGUGCAGGAUGACGGUCUUCGGAUUGUAAACUGCUUUUAUAUGGGAAGAUUAUGACGGUACCAUAUGAAUAAGGACCGGCUAACUACGCGCCAGCAGCCGC